rnacentral:misc_RNA from 1 species
AACACAAUGAACAGCAUGUCCAGGUCGCGUAAGCCGUGGAUGUUACGAAGCGUCGCUGUAGCUGCUCUCAUGAGUGCAUGGGUGAGUGGUGCCGUUGUGAAUGAAACCGGCAUGGCAGAUGAAACCCAUGCACCGGCGCAGUCGGCACCCGCCACUCCAUCG